AAGACAGAAGUUGAUGAGGAAGCAUUCGUAUAUCUGCUGACACGACCAGAUCUUGGUGUCUUAGAAAUUGUCAUCCCAGGCACAGCAAACAUUGAUGAUUCUUUAAGCUCAAGCUCAUUAGGAGAUACUGAAGGUACGUCAGAGUCCGAUGACACAGCAAUGUUGAUUAGAAGCCCUCCUGAAAAAAAUCAAGCUGAGGAACGUCGUCUUGCCAAGAUGAUUGAAGAUAUCCUAAAGACCAGCCCUGGAGGUGAAAAGGUCAUAAACGAAUAUGCCCGCACCAAAGGUCUGUCAGAUGCCCA